CUUCGCGUAAAAUAGGUCUCGUCGCGAGAGGAGAGUUCACGGGUUCGAUGUGCUAUCGAAUUAUAUUGAAUUUGAUCCUCCUUUUCUUAAUCGGAUUUUCUUCUUUUUCGGAUAUUACAUAGAAAAUAAUAUUAGAUUAAAAUACCAAGACGAGUAGAAAAAGAUCCGAAAUCCCUGCAGAAUUUAUUUUUUCUCUUCUCUCCAACGUGAAAAGAAAAUGUAUGAUAACAUUUAGAGUAACGUGAUUAGCGUCUUGCUUUCAAAGUGAUUGUUCUCAUAAAUAUGAUUCCCUUACAUUUAUGAUUGUUCUACUGUUUCUCUAAACAUGUCAAUGUCCUAAUUUAAAAAGUACAUUUUUGCUUUUGAGUUUAAAAAAUCGAUUUUUUUUGGCAUUUUUAAAUAAGUCCAGAGAGAAAGCGGAUUAUGGGUAAGAGAUUUGCAAAAGUUUUUUUUAUUAGCAUAUAGUGUUUUCAAAGUUUUUAAUGCAUUUUUCUUGAAAUGUCCAUUCUGAAAAUAUUUCUUUACGUUUAUAUACAUAUAUACACCCCCGCCCUCCCCCAAUUGUUCCGUUUUAGAUUAAAAAAUAUUUGGUCACAUUAAUUUAGAGAGAUUAUUUCGACUCACUGUCUUUGUCAACCAAGAAAAUAAAAAUGAGUAUAAUAGUUAAAUAUAAGAUGAAUAUACGUACUCGUAUAAGGAAACGUAAAAUAUACAAUACCAAUAAAAAGUAUUGCGUUACUUAUGAAAAUAUAAGAGAAAUCAUUAUUUUAACAAAAUAAUUAUAAAUAUAAUUUUAUUUUUAUGUUUAUCUUAUAUUCUUUGUUAGGAAUACUUUGAGGAAAAAAACAAAGAACUUAAUGAUUUAUACUUAAGUUUUCUAUAUUUUUAAGAAUUGAUACACUUUCGACCGGCACUAUAUAAUAAAAUAAAAGAUUAAAAAAGAAACAAAAAAUAA